rnacentral:rRNA from 1 species
AACGAACGCUGGCAGCAUGCCUAACACAUGUAAGUCGAACGAGACCUUCGGGUCUAGUGGCGCACGGGUGCGUAACGCGUGGGAACCUGCCCUUAGGUUCGGAAUAACUCCCCGAAAGGGGUGCUAAUACCGGAUAAUGUCUUCGGACCAAAGAUUUAUCGCCUUUGGAUGGGCCCGCGUUGGAUUAGCUAGUUGGUAGGGUAAAAGCCUACCAAGGCGACGAUCCAUAGCUGGUCUGAGAGGAUGAUCAGCCACACUGGGACUGAGACACGGCCCAGACUCCUACGGGAGGCAGCAGUGGGGAAUAUUGGACAAUGGGCGAAAGCCUGAUCCAGCAAUGCCGCGUGAGUGAUGAAGGCCUUAGGGUUGUAAAGCUCUUUUACCCGGGAUGAUAAUGACAGUACCGGGAGAAUAAGCUCCGGCUAACUCCGUG